rnacentral:rRNA from 1 species
GAACGAGAAAGUGGAGCAAUCCAUGAGUACAGUGGCGUACGGGUGAGUAACACGUGACUAACCUACCCUCGAGUGGGGAAUAACUCCGGGAAACCGGGGCUAAUACCGCAUAACAUCGCAAGAUCAAAGCAGCAAUGCGCUUGGAGAGGGGGUCGCGGCUGAUUAGCUAGUUGGCGGGGUAACGGCCCACCAAGGCGAAGAUCGGUAGCCGGCCUGAGAGGGCGCACGGCCACACUGGAACUGAAACACGGUCCAGACUCCUACGGGAGGCAGCAGUGGGGAAUUUUGCGCAAUGGGGGAAACCCUGACGCAGCAACGCCGCGUGGAGGAUGAAGUCCCUUGGGACGUAAACUCCUUUCGACCGGGACGAUACUGACGGUACCGGAAGAAGAAGCACCGGCUAACUCUGUG